rnacentral:rRNA from 1 species
CCUACGGGUGGCAGCAGUGGGGAAUAUUGGGCAAUGGGCGCAAGCCUGACCCAGCAACGCCGCGUGAAGGAAGAAGGCUUUCGGGUUGUAAACUUCUUUUCUGAGGGACGAAGAAAGUGACGGUACGUCAGGAAUAAGCCACGGCUAACUACGUGCGAGCAGCCGCGGUAAGACGUAGGUGGGAAGCGUUAUCCGGUUUUAUUGGGUGUAAAGGGCGUGUAGGCGGGAAAGGAAAUUAGAUGUGAAAAAUCAGAGGUAAACCCGUCGACUGCAUAUGAAACUGUUUGACUUGAGUGCUGGAGAGGCAAGCGGAAAUCCGGGUGUAGCGGUGAAAUGCGUAAAUAUACGGAGGAACACCGGUGGCGAAGGCGGAUUGCUGGACAGUAACUGACGCUGAGGCGCGAAAGCGUGGGGAGCAAACAGGAUUAGAUACCCCGGUAGUC